AUGUCUGAUGCGACAAUAUCAAUCUGUAUUUCUGAAUUACAUAUAUUUCGGCCCCUUCUUGCAUCAGACGCAUAUGUUUGCCGAACGGAUGUAGUUGCUCGUGUAGCUAGAAACUAACCUGACCUCUUCGGGUUAUCACUUCAAUUGAUACAUGUAAAGGAUGAUCUCCAAAUAAUAACUGAUAUGAAAUCACGCACAUCCCCUUGACGAUCCGGGCGGAAAGGAAAAGAGUACCCAGCUCUCAACGGAGCACCUUGUGUGGGCUGCAGAUCUUUAAACAGCAGG
rnacentral:lncRNA from 1 species